UGUAGAUCCUGCCCACAGUUUGGAGAGGAUCAUUGCAGCUACCAAAACAGCAGUCAAUAACAUAUUCUGUUUGGGGUGCAAGACACGACCAACAUAUCUCCACUUAGUGGCAUCAGCCAAAACCAGCCAGAAAAAGCAGUCUUAAAGAGACCUUCAUCUUUCUGUAAAGCUGAAACAAGAAGACAAGGAGAGGUGAUAAAAG
rnacentral:lncRNA from 12 species